CAUAUAUAUGUGUGUGCGUAUACGCAUGUGUGCUGGGAUACGCGUUCGUGUUUGAGUGUAUGUAUGUUCACAUGUGAAAACGGCCAUACUGUUUAGUUUUACUCUUUGGUCUAUGUCCUAGCUUUUUCCCUUCAGACUUUCUAAAUGAAUGUUUCUAAAUAAAAUCUUUGCUGAAAUGAUUUAAAAAUGUUUAAACUUCUAUUACAUUUUCUUUUGUUCUCUCCCUUUAGAUCCUGCUAUGUUAGGACUAGGCGGAGGUGGCGCUAGCAGUGGAGGUUUAUUCGGAAGUCUAUUUGCAUAAUUUUGCUAGGGGAUAAGGUAUGUUGUAGUUUGAUUUCUAAAACAAUAAAACGAGGACAGAGAAAACACAGCCAGAGACCAGGACAGACUGUUGCUAGACCAAUGUGAUCAGAGAAAACACAGCCAGAGACCAGGACAGACUGUUGCUAGACCAAUGUGAUCAGAGAAAACACAGCCAGAGACCAGGACAGACUGUUGCU
rnacentral:sRNA from 1 species